AUUGAACGCUGGCGGCAGGCUUAACACAUGCAAGUCGAGCGGAGUGAUGGUGCUUGCACUAUCACUUAGCGGCGGACGGGUGAGUAAUGCUUAGGAAUCUGCCAUCUAGUGGGGGACAACAUUCCGAAAGGAAUGCUAAUACCGCAUACGUCCUACGGGAGAAAGCAGGGGAUCUUCGGACCUUGCGCUAAAUGAUGAGCCUAAGUCGGAUUAGCUAGUUGGUGGGGUAAAGGCCUACCAAGGCGACGAUCUGUAGCGGGUCUGAGAGGAUGAUCAGCCACACUGGAACUGAGACACGGUCCAGGCUCCUACGGGAGGCAGCAGUGGGGAAUAUUGGACAAUGGGCGAAAGCCUGAUCCAGCCAUGCCGCGUGUGUGAAGAAGGUCUUCGGAUUGUAAAGCACUUUAAGUUGGGAGGAAGGGUUGUAGAUUAAUACUCUGCAAUUUUGACGUUACCGACAGAAUAAGCACCGGCUAACUACGUGCCAGCCGCCGCGGUAAUAC
rnacentral:rRNA from 1 species